UUUCGGUGUAGGAUGAGGCUAUAUCGUAUCAGCUAGUUGGUAGGGUAACGGCCUACCAAGGCUAUGACGCGUAACUGGUCUGAGAGGAUGAUCAGUCACACUGGAACUGAGACACGGUCCAGACUCCUACGGGAGGCAGCAGUAGGGAAUAUUGCUCAAUGGGGGAAACCCUGAAGCAGCAACGCCGCGUGGAGGAUGACACUUUUCGGAGCGUAAACUCCUUUUCUUGGGAAAGAAUUAUGACGGUACCCAAGGAAUAAGCACCGGCUAACUCCGUGCCAGCAGCCGCGGUAAUACGGAGGGUGCAAGCGUUACUCGGAAUCACUGGGCGUAAAGGACGCGUAGGCGGAUUAUCAAGUCUCUUGUGAAAUCUAACGGCUUAACCGUUAAACUGCUUGGGAAACUGAUAAUCUAGAGUAAGGGAGAGGCAGAUGGAAUUCUUGGUGUAGGGGUAAAAUCCGUAGAGAUCAAGAAGAAUACCCAUUGCGAAAGCGAUCUGCUGGAACUUAACUGACGCUAAUGCGUGAAAGCGUGGGGAGCAAACAGGAUUAGAUACCCUGGUAGUCCACGCCCUAAACGAUGUAUACUAGUUGUUGCUUCGCUAGUCGAGGCAGUAAUGCACCUAACGGAUUAAGUAUACCGCCUGGGGAGUACGGUCGCAAGAUUAAAACUCAAAGGAAUAGACGGGGACCCGCACAAGCGGUGGAGCAUGUGGUUUAAUUCGAAGAUACGCGAAGAACCUUACCCGGACUUGAUAUCUAACAAAUCAUCCAGAGAUGGAAGAGUGUCUGCUUGCAGAAAUGUUAAGACAGGUGCUGCACGGCUGUCGUCAGCUCGUGUCGUGAGAUGUUGGGUUAAGUCCCGCAACGAGCGCAACCCACGUAUUUAGUUGCUAACGGUUAGGCCGAGCACUCUAAAUAGACUGCCUUCGUAAGGAGGAGGAAGGUGUGGACGACGUCAAGUCAUCAUGGCCCUUAUGUCCGGGGCGACACACGUGCUACAAUGGCGUAUACAAUAAGACGCAAUAUCGCGAGAUGGAGCAAAUCUAUAAAAUACGUCCCAGUUCGGAUUGGAGUCUGCAACUCGACUCCAUGAAGCCGGAAUCGCUAGUAAUCGUAGAUCAGCCAUGCUACGGUGAAUACGUUCCCGGGUCUUGUACUCACCGCCCGUCACACCAUGGGAGUUGAUUUCACUCGAAGCCCAAAUACCAAACCGGUUAUGGUCCACAGUGGAAUCAGCGACUGGGGUG
rnacentral:rRNA from 1 species